rnacentral:rRNA from 1 species
UACGGAGGGAGCUAGCGUUGUUCGGAAUUACUGGGCGUAAAGCGCACGUAGGCGGCUUUGUAAGUUAGAGGUGAAAGCCCGGGGCUCAACCCCGGAAUAGCCUUUAAGACUGCAUCGCUUGAAUCCGGGAGAGGUGAGUGGAAUUCCGAGUGUAGAGGUGAAAUUCGUAGAUAUUCGCAAGAACACCAGUGGCGAAGGCGGCUCACUGGCCCGGUACUGACGCUGAGGUGCGAAAGCGUGGGGAGCAAACAGG